rnacentral:rRNA from 1 species
UGAUACGUAGGGGGCGAGCGUUGUCCGGAUUUAUUGGGCGUAAAGAGCUCGUAGGCGGUUCGGUAAGUCAGAUGUAAAAACUCCAGGCUCAACUUGGAGAGGCCAUCUGAUACUGCCGUGACUAGAGUCCGGUAGAGGAGCACGGAAUUCCUGGUGUAGCGGUGAAAUGCGCAGAUAUCAGGAGGAACACCAGCGGCGAAGGCGGUGCUCUGGGCCGGAACUGACGCUGAGGAGCGAAAGCGUGGGGAGCGAACAGGAUUAGAUACCCUGGUAGUCCACGCCGUAAACGUUGGGCACUAGGUGUGGGACCCUGUCAACGGGUUCUGUGCCGCAGCUAACGCAUUAAGUGCCCCGCCUGGGGAGUACGGCCGCAAGGCUA